UGAGGUAGAGGUCGCGAACGUUAUGAGUACUCUUUCCGAGAUGAAAAAGCAUUAAUGACAAAAGAAAAAAGGAACGUUUGCCGAAGUACAUUGAAAGCUUUUUAUUUCAAUUGCUGGGGCUGUCGCUUAAUAGGUGCAGAACUGUCACGCUUUUGCGUGUUGAGCUAUC
rnacentral:ncRNA from 1 species